GAUGAACGCUGGCGGCGUGCCUAAUACAUGCAAGCCGAGCGAACGGACGAGAAGCUUGCUUCUCUGAUGUUAGCGGCGGACGGGUGAGUAACACGUGGAUAACCUACCUAUAAGACUGGGAUAACUUCGGGAAACCGUAGCUAAUACCGGAUAAUAUUUUGAACCGCAUGGUUCAAAAGUGAAAGACGGUCUUGCUGUCACUUGUAGAUGGAUCCGCGCUGCAUUAGCUAGUUGGUAAGGUAACGGCUUACCAAGGCAACGAUGCAUAGCCGACCUGAGAGGGUGAUCGGCCACACUGGAACUGAGACACGGUCCAGACUCCUACGGGAGGCAGCAGUAGGGAAUCUUCCGCAAUGGGCGAAAGCCUGACGGAGCAACGCCGCGUGAGUGAUGAAGGUCUUCGGAUCGUAAAACUCUGUUAUUAGGGAAGAACAUAUGUGUAAGUAACUGUGCACAUCUUGACGGUACCUAAUCAGAAAGCCACGGCUAACUACGUG
rnacentral:rRNA from 1 species